rnacentral:rRNA from 1 species
CAAUAGCGUAUAUUAAAGUUGCUGCAGUUAAAAAGCUCGUAGUUGCAUUUCCGAGGCAAGGGAUUAGUCCGACCUUUGGUGGGUAUUUAAUCCUCUUGCCUCGUCCUUGAGUGGUGCUUCUUGGUAUUAAGUUAUCGAGGAGAUAGCCGCUCAUCGUUUACUGUGAGAAAAUUAGAGUGUUCAAAGCAGGCUUAUGCCGUUGAAUAUAUUAGCAUGGAAUAAUAAGAUAGGACCUCGGUACUAUUUUGUUGGUUUGAGAACCAAGGUAAUGAUGAAUAGGGACAGUUGGGGGUAUUCGUAUUCAGUUGUCAGAGGUGAAAUUCUUAGAUUUACGGAAGACGAACUACUGCGAAAGCAUUUACCAAGGAUGUUUUCAUUGA